UCCCUGGUGGUCCAGUGGUUAGGACUCCGCACUCUCACUGCCGAGGGACCAGGUUCGAUCCCUGGUUGGGGAA